GACGAACGCUGGCGGCGUGCCUAAUACAUGCAAGUAGAACGCUGAAGAGAAGAGCUUGCUCUUCUUGGAUGAGUUGCGAACGGGUGAGUAACGCGUAGGUAACCUGCCUUGUAGCGGUGGAUAACUAUUGGAAACGAUAGCUAAUACCGCAUAACAAUGGAUGACCCAUGUCAUUUAUUUGAAAGGGGCAAAUGCUCCACUACAAGAUGGACCUGCGUUGUAUUAGCUAGUAGGUGAGGUAACGGCUCACCUAGGCGACGAUACAUAGCCGACCUGAGAGGGGGAGCGGCCACACUGGGACUGAGACACGGCCCAGACGCCUACGGGAGGCAGCAGUAGGGAAUCUUAGGCAAUGGGGGCAACCCUGACCGAGCAACGCCGCGUGAGUGAAGAAGGUUUUCGGAUCAUAAAGCUCUGUUGUAAGUCAAGAACGAGUGUGAGAGUGGAAAGUUCACACUGUGACGGUAGCUUACCAGAAAGGGACGGCUAACUACGUG
rnacentral:rRNA from 1 species